rnacentral:tRNA from 1 species
GUGAUUAUAGCUCAGUAGGUAGAGCAAGACACUGUGAAUGUAAAGGCCUCGGGUUCGAAACCCGAUAAUCACC